rnacentral:rRNA from 1 species
UACGUAGGUGGCUAGCGUUGUCCGGAUUUACUGGGCGUAAAGAGCGCGCAGGCGGUCGUGCAAGUCGCGGGUGAAAGCCCCCGGCUCAACUGGGGAGGGUCACGCGAUACUGCUCGACUCGAAGGCAGGAGAGGGUAGUGGAAUUCCCGGUGUAGUGGUGAAAUGCGUAGAUAUCGGGAGGAACACCAGUGGCGAAGGCGACUACCUGGCCUGUUUCUUGACGCUGAGGCGCGAAAGCUAGGGGAGCAAACGGG